GAUGAACGCUGACAGAAUGCUUAACACAUGCAAGUCAACUGUGCUGGACGGGUGCGUAACGCGUAAAGAACUUGACUCUCAGUUAGGGACCACAUUUGGAAACGAAUGCUACUACCUGAUACUGGGAGAGUGCUUUGCGUCCCAUUAGCUAGUUGGAGAGGUAACGGCUCACCAAGGCGAUGAUGGGUAGCCGGCCUGGGAGGGUGAUCGGCCACAAGGGGACUGAGACACGGCCCUUAGUCCAACGGGAGGCAGCGGUGGGGGAUAUAGGACAAUAGGCCAAAGUCUGAUGCAGCAAUUAUGGUUGCACGAUGAAGUUUUCGGAAGGUAAAGGGCUUUGAGUUGGGAAGCGGUACCAACAGAAGAAGUGACGGCUAAAUACGUGCCAGCAGCCGCGGUAAUUC
rnacentral:rRNA from 1 species